CGGACGGGUGAGUAACACGUGGAUAACCUACCUAUAAGACUGGGAUAACUUCGGGAAACCGGAGCUAAUACCGGAUAAUAUAUUGAACCGCAUGGUUCAAUAGUGAAAGACGGUUUUGCUGUCACUUAUAGAUGGAUCCGCGCCGCAUUAGCUAGUUGGUAAGGUAACGGCUUACCAAGGCAACGAUGCGUAGCCGACCUGAGAGGGUGAUCGGCCACACUGGAACUGAGACACGGUCCAGACUCCUACGGGAGGCAGCAGC
rnacentral:rRNA from 1 species